UAGGGAGCGAGCGUUAUCCGGAAUUAUUGGGUGUAAAGGGUGCGUAGGCGGCAUAAUAAGUCAGUGGUGAAAGCCCGGAGCUUAACUCCGGUAAGCCAUUGAAACUGUUAAGCUUGAGUAUGGUAGAGGCAAGCGGAAUUUCUAGUGUAGCGGUAAAAUGCGUAGAUAUUAGAAGGAACACCAGUGGCGAAGGCGGCUUGCUGGGCCAAAACUGACGCUGAGGCACGAAAGCGUGGGGAGCAAA
rnacentral:rRNA from 1 species